rnacentral:tRNA from 1 species
CUUCUCGUGGUGUAGUGGCAACGCGCCCGUCUAAUGCGUAGGAGUCUUGAGUUCGAGUCUCACCGAGAGGA